CCUACGGGUGGCAGCAGUAGGGAAUAGUGCUCAAUGGGGGAAACCCUGAAGCAGCAACGCCGCGUGGAGGAUGAAGGUUCUCGGAUUGUAAACUCCUUUUGAUAGAGGAGAUAAUGACGGUAUCAAACGAAUAAGCACAGGAUAACUCUGUGCCAGCAGCCGCGGUAAUACGGAGGCUGCAAGCGUUAGUCGGAAUCACUGGGCGUAAAGAGCGCGUAGGCGGGAUAGCAAGUCAGAUGUGAAAUCCUAUGGCUUAACCAGAGAACUGCAUAUGAAACUGUUAUUCUAGAGUAUGGGAGAGGUAAGUGGAAUUCUUGGUGUAGGGGUAAAAUGCGUAGAGAUCGAGAGGAAUACUCGUUGCGAAGGCGACCUGCUAGAACAUAACUGACGCUGAGGCGCGAAGGCGUGGGGAGCGAAAAGGAUUAGAUACCCGAGUAGUC
rnacentral:rRNA from 1 species